rnacentral:lncRNA from 1 species
CCUGAAAUUCGAAAGGGUAAAUUCUCAAAAACCGGCCUUCAUGGAACUCGUGAUCCCGACGUCAAAACUUACCCAACGAAGUACUCCGAGCUUCGUGGGAACCUCCUAGAGCUCCCUGUGAGCUUAGAUUUCCCUAAAACACAACAUAUUCAAAGAUCAUGAACAUUGCUCUUCACGGGAACUUUUAAAACUACGUUUUCCGAAGUAGAACUUACCUGAAAUGGGUACCAUUGUGUUCGUGUGGUCUUCAGGAGCACGAUGGUGGUUUCAAAUUGAACGAUGGUAGAAGUUUUAGAUGGUUUUGGAGCUUGCCCGUGUGAGUUCGAAGGAGAGAGAGACAGAACUGAGAGAAAUCGUGAGGGAGGAGAGAGAGAGGGACAAGGUACGGGAAUUGGGGAAGGUUUUGAGGGAUGUGGGGAUCCCACGUGUCCAACCCAAUCCCAAUUUCAAACUUUUAACAUAGAGACCUAAGUAUAAGUCUUGGUUUAGGUUUCUAAAACCAAUUAAUAUUCUAAUUCACCAAAGUUUAAGAACCUUAAGUAAAAACAAGUGUCCAAAUUACGCACUUUAGUCUCGUUUAGGGACAUUUUCGUAACUUCACGUCCUCGGAAUUAAAAAUUCCGGGACGGGCUGUGACAAUCUCCCCUCCUUAUAGAAUUUCGUCCUCGAAAUUCCAGCCACCAACCAACCCAUCAAAACUCAUAAAAUAGCCUCGGAUACAUAUCUCUCAUCCGUUCUUCCGUCUCCCAAGUACCUUCCUCCGCUGAAUGGUUCCUCCACAAUACUUUUACCACUUACUCUAUCUUAAUUCUCAGGACCUUCUUUUUCCAAUCCAAAGUCGUCCAUAGCUCCUCACUAAUUAGAUCCAGCUUAAUUCUCAAUAGUUGCACCAGAAUUCCAUGAGACGACUCUGCCACCUAGUGACAACGCAUCGAACACAAAAUACAUUAUGUGUCUUAGCCAAUUCUAAAGGCAUCACAAGCUUGUAUGCAACUUUAUCGAUUCUUUUAGUGAUCAAAACAGUCUGAUGUAUAUAAACUUAUUUUGUCUUCUUUCCAAAUCUCACCAUUUCUGUUCGUGGUGAAAUUUCCAAAAUAUCGAAUCAUGAAACACAUCAUGCACUUACGACAACUCUGGAAGCCAUUCAAUUCUAUAAUCAACUUCACCAACCUUUCGAUGAUCACGCUAAGUCCGAUUCAUUUAGGAUUUAACUUGUCUUCCUUUCCAACCCGAAUUAUACUUUUCUAUGGUGAACACUUCGAAAAUAUAAAACCAUUUACCUUAUAUACUCAAUUAGUGGCAUAUCCAUCUGUUGAUCUCUUUUGCCAUUCCUGGUUACUUCAGGUUAACAUAAUCACCUGAAUACUUUGAGGAGACUCAUCCAUAGUCUCAGGGUCUACUAAAACUCUUUCUUGAUCGAAUCUUUCUCUAUUCAGAAGCAUUUCAUUCACACGACACGCUUUAGGGACCCUAUGGCGUUAUUUUGGAAACUGCGCACCCAACAUACUUAAGAAACUCAGCAGUUCCGUAAUCCAAUUCUCUUUCCAUAAAACAAAUAAGUACCGUUGUCCUGUCUGGGAAAAAGUUAUUACUCAACACUGGAGUAAAUAUACUAACUUGUUACGUUGCCCAACCAUCACUUCACAUUCGAUCGUAACCAUCUUGUAUACAAGGAAACUUGUACACAUAGUCCAAAGUAAUAUCUUUCCAUUUCCGUUUCGAAACAGAAAUUAGUUGUCUCAAUCCAAAGGUUUAUCUCUUUCUGCCUCAAUCUGCUGAUCAAAUAAAACUGUCGAGUGGUAUGAUAAAUCUUAUUACUUUUGGAAUAUUGCAGAAGUUGAAUAGUGAACUUCGUCCAAUAUUUGCUUGCUUCAAAUCCUAAGCAUUAGGCACAUACUUUUUGUUUUCUUGUAUCCACAUACCAUUUGAUUCACGAAUCAUGUACUCAUUCUUUUUCCCUUCUUUCUCUGCCUUGGUUAAUUCUUAAAUUUCCUCGUCAAACAUUUAAGUUUCGAGUACGACCUUACCAAAAAUGCCUAACUUGAAAAUUAGCAAGUACAGGUUCUUCUCGAUCUCCCAUUCUCAACUUUACUUCAGUUGAUUUCCAAUCCAUAAGAAGAUAAUCUUGGCAAGCGUACCAAGCAUUAAUUCUUACUGUAGUCUUCUCACCAAGUGCUUCAGUUACAACAAUUCACGAUCACCCUGAUCGUACAAUCAUAAUCACUAAGUAAUUCAAUCCACCUUUGUUGCCUCAUAUCAAAAUCCUUCCGAGUAAACAAAUAUUGGAGACUCUUUUGAUUUGUAAAAUCUUGCAUUCUUAUCAACAUAUAAUGUCUCCAUAACUUCACAGCAAGGAUGAUAAUCGUGACUUCCAAAUCACCAGUAGGGUAAUUCAUCUUAUGAGGUUCCAUUUGUCAUGAAACAUAUGCCAUCACCCUAACAUUUGUAUCAAUACACAUCCAAGAACGUUUAAUGUAAUAUCACCAUAAAUCGAUAAUUACCGCUAUCUUCUAGGAAUACUAAAAUACGUGCAUGAGUGAGGAAAUACUUCAGUUGUUGAAUCCUUUGCUCACAAUUACAUAACCUCUUUUCUCAACAGUCUCAUCAAUGACAAAGCAAUGACUGAAAAAUCUUUCACAACCAUCCAAGAUAGCCUGGUAAGCUAAGAAAUUCCGAAUCUCAAUUACAGCUCGUGGUUGUUCCAAUUCUCAAUUUCCGCUACCUUUUAAAAUUCACUUGAAUACCUUUAGCAAAUAUAACUUAUCUCAUAAAUGCUUCUUAAUUCAUCCAACAUUGGCAUUUGCUAAACUUAGCAUACAAUCGACGUUCCCUCAAACUUUGUAACAUCAACUUAAAAUAUCUAACAUGCUCUGCUCUAGGCUUAGAGUAUACUAGAAUAUCGUCAAUGAAAAAUGAUAUCAAUCUAUCAAGGCAUUCCUGGAAUACUUCAUCCAUCAACUCAUAAAACAACAUGAGUAUCCGUAUAGCAUCACCAAAGUUCAUAAAGACCAUAACGAGUCCAGAAACAAUCUUAGGAACAACGUCACUCAUAAUCUUCCAUUGGUAAUAAACAGACCUCCAGUCAAUCUUUGAAAGUACACAAGCACCUCUGAGCUGAUCAAAUAAACAUCAGUACACCACAAUGGAUAACGGUUCUCAUUCGUUACCCGAUUCCAUUAUCUAUAAUCAAUGGAUAGCCUUAAAAUCCAUUUUCUUCCUCACCAACGAACUGGGGCUCCCCCAAAGCGUUGUACUAGGUUGAAUAAAACUUUUAUCAACCAAUUCUUUCAACUGAAUUUCCAAUUCCUUUAACUCAUCAUGAACCAAUCUCCAAUAUAAAUUUAUACCUGGCAACAAAUCAAUAAUGAACCUCAUAUCUCUGCCUGAAGGCAAUCCAGGUAUACUUUCAAGGAAGACAUCAAGAAAAGUCUAACCCCUUUUUCAUUUUUCACACUUCUCCGAGCAACAUCCUUUAGUACCACAUGAACUAAGUAUUUUUUGGGCAGCCUUUCAAAACAAUCUCUUUGCUUUCACAGCAUAAAUGGCUGAGCUCACUUCACUUUGUAUGCCCACCAAAGUAACCUCUAAUUAAUCAACUCGAUGGAAAGUAACUGGUUUCCCGUAACAUUCCAUCUAGUCACAACUAUAAACAAUCAAUCUAAUGGAAUAAAAUUAACUGACCCAAUACAUACUUUAUUAUUACUGAACAUUCUAAAUAAGUACAACACUAACAUAAAAUAACCUACCGGUUUGCUUGCUUAACGAAUCCACGAAUGAGUUAUUAAUAUUACGGUCUGCAGCCCGCAAUACUGAUAAAUCAUCGUUGUCUCGAUAAGUAGGCAACCACUCUCAAAGAUAUAACAUUACUAUUUUGUCACUCAAUGCAAAAUACAUACACUCGUCUCAACUACAUUUAUUUACUACUCUCUAGGUAAUAACAUACAUAAUAAGAAAUAUAUCAGCCGAAGUCAACUAGAAUGACCAAUACGGCUGAUUCAACUCUUAUCUCAAUAAUACAUCGGCCGGAUCCACUCCGCAUGGUCGGUACGGCCGAGCCUAUAACUCACCAAUUUCUCAUGUGUCAGUCGAAUCCACUUCUCAUGGUCUGUACGGCUGAACAUAUAACUCAUCAAAUCUCUCUGUACUCACGGUCAAUCCGACCAAACUACUAAGUCCAUAACUCUGCUGAAUCGACACUAUGAUAUCAUGGAAAAUUGUUGAGUACAACUGAUUCUAGGGACGAUUCACAAUUCGGUGUCCCCUCUGUUCACAUAAACACAUUCAUUAAUUUCACACUUCCCAAAGUGUUAAUUUUGUACCUGCUGCACAAGGUACAUUUCCUUUACUCGAGACACCUUGUCUCAAAUAUCUGGGAUUACCAGUAUAUCCAUCACUUUUACUCUGACCAGCGACAUUAAAACCUCAGCUGGAAGAAUUAACUCUAGCUUCACUUCUUUCGAAGCUCAGAAUCUUUCUAUAUCCUUGAUAUGACGAAUCAUUAACUUUAUCGUCUUCUUUUGAUUCCCAUUCAUUUCUUAUUCUUCUUUAUUCUCGUUGCUCAUGUUUUCAGAGUCCUCAAGACUCAACAGCAUCUCGUAUAUUCCUGGUAAGAAGUAGAAUGGAUAGUGGUCACCCAAAAUACCACUUCCCUUUUUGCCACCCAGCUUAAAACAACAUAACACCUCCACCAAAUUAACAACAAUAUCUGGAUGGAACGAGGCAAGUCUGAAAACUUUCUAUAAUAUCCCUCGAUCAUCACCUUCCUUGUCUCAUAUUUGUAAACUCUUGUUUACUACCAUCGAUAAAUGCCGGAGGGAUAAACUUUUCCUUAAACAAGUCCUAAAAAAAAUUUUAAAUCGGCUGAUUCCUCUGGUGACAACAAUUAACAAUCCUGUUUCCACCAGAAUACAAAUUCAUACCCAAAACCAGGUAGUCGUCUCGACCCCCUGUCAGAAGGAAGAUUCCUUUGACUUGCAUAAUCCGAAACUUCUUUUCCAAACGGUUAAACCGUCACUUCGUUCCCUCAGGUUCAUCAUUUCAUAAGGUGAUUCAAAUUCAACUCAUAACCCGUCUUAAAAUGUCCAUUUUGAUAGUAUACUGAAUCACCAUAAUAAUAGUUUCCCCCUAAACCGCUAAAUCAGGGAGACUAAGUUCCUCUAACUACGUGGUUUGCUACGAGGCGGUGUAGUUCUGACAGAAUUCACUAGAAACUUUUCAAGAUGUCCAAGAUUGCAACCAUGCUCUGAUACCAACUGACACACCCCGUCCCGAAGGAGGGCAUGCUGGCCGUCACGUGAGAGUGACGUAACCAUUUGCAUUGUACGGAAGCUUUAAGAUACAAUUUAUAAGUUGAUACACCCGAAGGUGAGUCCUAAUUUGAUCCAUUCUGUCAGAACCCCGCUGAAUUCCUCGUAGCCACCACUCCCAGCUAUUCUUUAACCUGGAGGGGCGCAAAACCAAAAUCGAGUGGGUCAGUAAAACAAAUCCUUUCAAAUCCAACUUUUCUUUAAAACAUUGUAACCCCUCUCCGUAAAACUUGUAUACUUUCCCAGAAAUGUAAAAUAUAAAUAUACAUAUAUAUUCUCAAUACUUCAAUUCAUUAACUCAACAUUUUUCAAUACAAAUAUGCCAUGCCAUGUCGGAAUUCAACAGUAAGUAUGAAUGCAUCAACAAUAAUUAUAUCAGGUGCAAGAAGUAAUCAACUGGAGGCCCUCUAAUGGCCCUGUACGGUUGAACCUAGAGCUCAAAAUCUAUCACUCUCACUCUGCCAUAGUCACCUCUGUGACCUGUCCGGCCUUCUGCACAUAAGUCGGAACCACCUAAUGUAGUUUGUACGACUCAAUGGUUAAUAUUACGCUCUAGUGCUUCUCUCAUCAUCAUCUGUGCACAUAAUCUAAGGUCACCCACCAGUCGAAAUCUCACUAACACUCUACGACUGGCCCGUCGCACCCACUCCGCGUGAUAUGUACGACUAGCAUCUACUUGGAUCCAAGGCGAGCGUGCGAUGCGGUGAAUACUAUAAGCACUAAACCAUGGUGCAGGAUUUGAGCUCAAUAUAUAUCAACAUCAUCAUAACAGUAAUUAAAUACUCACCUGAUACUCACCUGUGCGUCCACCGCACCAAUUCAUACAUAUGCAUCAUAUAUCAAUUCAUAUCAUUUCAUGCAUGGCAAUUCGAUUCACAUUUCUAUAUACUUUUCAUAUACUUUCAUGCAUAGCAUUUCAACUAAUAUAUCUCAUAUACUUUUAUACAUUUUCAUUUAAAGCAUAAUUUCAUGCAUUUUCAAAUUCUGGGAAAACGGUAAGUGUAUAUGUAUACGGAAAAACAAAACUGCCCACUCACAGUAUACAUCGACGUGUCGUAGGUCCCUGAGCCUCCCUUAGCCAUGCCCAACGUCCGUACAAACCUCGCCUAUACGAGAAAUAACUGAAUUAACGUUAUUUAACGCAUAACCCAACUCUUAGCUAAUAACUCCUCAAAUAUUGCUCAGUUUGGGUAUAUGAAUAUACCACCGUGACCUACACGACGUCACGAACCCGUACAUAUUUUUAGAAAUAAUUUUGGACCAUGCACGCGCCCCCACGAGCCGGCGAGGACACGGGUCUACGCGCGGCCCACGCGCAGUAACCCUAACGGAAAUCUUAACGGCGUUCGGAAUAUUCCUCGGAAUAUUCUGUUAACUUCUAACGGUAACCGUUAAAACUGACUAACGGCGUCAGAAUAUUCCGUCAAACUUGACGGAAUAUUCCGUCACCUUCAACCUUCAGCUCCGGCGACCGUCGUCGGCGCCGGAAAUUGGGUAAACCUGCAACUUGAGUUUUCUCAGCCAUUUCUUCACCAUUUUCACUCAAAUUUCUUCCUACAUGCUCUAAAUUAAGAGAGGAAGAAGUCCUUACCUUCAAAAACUUGUAAAAACGCCUGAAAUUCGAAAGGGUAAAUUCUCAAAAACCGGCCUUCAUGGAACUCGUGAUCCCAACGUCAAAACUUACCCAACGAAGUACUCCGAGCUUCGUGGGAACCUCCUAGAGCUCCCUGUGAGCUUAGAUUUCCCUAAAACACAACAUAUUCAAAGAUCAUGAACAAUGCUCUUCACGGGAACUUUUAAAACUACGUUUUCCGAAGUAGAACUUACCUGAAAUGGGUACCAUUGUGUUCGUGUGGUCUUCAGGAGCACGAUGGUGGUUUCAAAUUGAACGAUGGUAGAAGUUUUAGAUGGUUUUGGAGCUUGCCCGUGUGAGUUCGAAGGAGAGAGAGACAGAACUGAGAGAAAUCGUGAGGGAGGAGAGAGAGAGGGACAAGGUACGGGAAUUGGGGAAGGUUUUGAGGGAUGUGGGGAUCCCACGU